rnacentral:lncRNA from 1 species
CGACUGCGCGGCGAUCGUGACCAGGGCGUGGCUGGAGGUGCGGGACACCUGCUGCCUCAAGAAGGUGCUCUUCCUGCGGCUGGGCUUCUCCGGCGUCGCGGCCACGAAGAUCCGGCGGUCCGAGUGGGACGGGCCCUCCGUCGUGCCCCUCAAGUCCGGCUCGCUGUCGGCGAGGCUCAGUGCGGCGCUCUCCGGCGGCCUGGCGCAGGCGGUGCCGCCGCCGCCCGCCGCGGAGGAGAAGGUGGAGGUGAACUCCGCCAUAUUCCCCAAGGGACCGCCGGUGCCGCUCCCGGUGCAGAAGAUGGCGAGGCACGUGGACACCACGGAGGUGAUGAGGGGCCCCGACGACCAGCCGGGGUACUGGGUGGUCACCGGCGCGAAGCUGUGCGUCGAGGGCGGCAAGAUCGCGCUCAAGGUCAAGUAC